UACUGUCUCUUUAAGAGAUUGCGUCUUGAUGAUGACGACACAUAUAUGCGCCGGAAGAAAACAAAAGAUAUGUCGGAACCACGACGUGCGAGAAUAAGGAGAGGCCGAGUGGACUUUUUACAUGGAGGAUUGACAUUAACUUCACGGAGAAGAUGGACACUAACUUUACGUGGAAGAUGGACAUUAACUUCACGGAGAAGAUGGACAUUAACUUCAGGGAGAAGAUGGACAUUAACUUCAGGGAGAAGAUGGACACUAACUUCGCGGUGAAGGAAAGACAGAACAGCGCUGUGUGACUCUGCUGCUUUAGAACAAGUGCCAUUAAAAUAUCUGGACUUCUGAUAUGGAGCUCGGCCUCCUCUGGCUGCCAACUGAAGUGGGAGGGAGCCCCAAACGAACCCACUCAGAAUAGCUCUGCUGUGAGGAAGAGUAAAUGAACACAAUGAAGGUCAGUUUUUGGAGUGUGAAGGAAUGAAAGUGAGAUAGGAAGAGAGGGUAAAGGUGACUAAUAGUUUCUCGGCCUGAGGAUGUGGAAUCUGAUUUGGAGCAGGGCUUCUCCUGGUACGAAUGGAGGAAGGAGAUAAGGGAAACCUGUUCCUGGACAAGCACUUGACUAAAAGGGCUCCAACAUUCUGCUGUGUUGCUCGUGUGUUGACUACACUGAAGUAUAGGCACUCAAGUGCUGAACUCACAUAUCUAAACAUCCUUCAUCUUACAUAGCUUAAUGCAACAUAUUAGAGCCAAAUGCUGCUUGUUACUCAACUAGGUUAUUAGUAGCUUUGAUUUUACAUUCAAAAGCCAUGAUUGACUUAUUAUAUGCAAUUAAAGGCUAGUUUUCCAGUGUGUUUUC
ensembl:lncRNA